rnacentral:rRNA from 1 species
UACGUAGGGCGCAAGCGUUGUCCGGAAUUAUUGGGCGUAAAGAGCUCGUAGGCGGCUUGUCACGUCGGAUGUGAAAGCCCGGGGCUUAACCCCGGGUCUGCAUUCGAUACGGGCUAGCUAGAGUGUGGUAGGGGAGAUCGGAAUUCCUGGUGUAGCGGUGAAAUGCGUAGAUAUCGGAAGGAACAUCAGUGGCGAAAGCGACUUCCUGGACCAGUACCGACGUUCAGGCACGAAAGCGUGGGGAGCAAACAGG